rnacentral:rRNA from 1 species
GAUGAACGCUGGCGGCGUGCCUAAUGCAUGCAAGUCGCACGCAGUUUCCUUCGGGAGGCUGAGUGGCGCACGGCUGAGAAUCACGUGGGAACCUGCCCAUCCGUGGGGGACAACCCGCCGAAAGGCGUGCUAAUCCCGCAUACGCUCCCUGUUUGGGAGGAAAGCUUGGCAACAAGCGCGGACGGAAGGGCCUGCGGCCC